AUUGAACGCUGGCGGCAGGCCUAACACAUGCAAGUCGAGCGGAUGAAGGGAGCUUGCUCCUGGAUUCAGCGGCGGACGGGUGAGUAAUGCCUAGGAAUCUGCCUGGUAGUGGGGGAUAACGUCCGGAAACGGGCGCUAAUACCGCAUACGUCCUGAGGGAGAAAGUGGGGGAUCUUCGGACCUCACGCUAUCAGAUGAGCCUAGGUCGGAUUAGCUAGUUGGUGGGGUAAAGGCCUACCAAGGCGACGAUCCGUAACUGGUCUGAGAGGAUGAUCAGUCACACUGGAACUGAGACACGGUCCAGACUCCUACGGGAGGCAGCAGUGGGGAAUAUUGGACAAUGGGCGAAAGCCUGAUCCAGCCACGCCGCGUGAGUGAAGAAGGUCUUCGGAUUGUAAAGCACUUUAAGUUGGGAAGAAGGGCAGUAAGUUAAUACCUUGCUGUUUUGACGUUACCAACAGAAUAAGCAACGGCUAACUUCGUG
rnacentral:rRNA from 1 species